CCCGGCCCGGCCCCGUGCCCGACCCCGGCCCGCCCGACCCCUGCCCGCAGCGGGGCCGCGGUCCCAACCCCAUGUGUCCCACUUGUCUGGAUUAACAUUUGAAGUCUGGCAGUCUGGUCCUUUUCGUAGCUCCUGAGGAUUUUUAGAAGCAUGGGGAGCAUGGGAUGAGUGGACCUCUGGACCCACAAAACUCUGUGGAGAAUGCUGGCUGUGGAUAAAAACAUCUGGAAGUUUCUACCAUCUUUUUACCCUGUUUUUCCCUGGAUCACCCUGUGUCAUUUGUGGUCCUGCCCUGAGGAUUAUAGCAUACAGUCAUUUACUGGAAUACCUCCCCAUGCAUCUUCUUGAAAUGGAGCCAUUGCUUUACCCAGCUGGAAGAUAUUUUCUCUUCUCCCAGAGCUUUUCCAGUGCAGCAACACUCCUGUCCAUCAGGUCUCAGUUGACUGCAGAAAGGAGAAGGGAGGAGUGUGUCAAAGGGAGGUCAGAUCUUGCCAGGGUUUCCUGGGAAAUGAGGUGAGUGGUGAUGUCUUUCAGUACUCAUAAGCCUGGAGAUAGAAGCCCUCCAGGUCUUCCCUGUACCCUUUGUGUGAGACC
rnacentral:lncRNA from 1 species